GAAGAAAGAAAAUGUCAUAUCUGUGAGCUGCUGGUCUUUCAGGAAGAAAGUAAACCAAGCCAGAUUUGAUAGCUGGUAUGGAGGGAUGAAGCUUGAUUAAAUUCUGUUCAAUACAAAGCGUGUUUACUUGGAUGGAAUUCCCACUGAAUUAUCAGAUAAGAUCAGUCAGAAAUGGGCACUGCUAAACAUACCACUAAAUACAAAUGGAUGAAUACAAGAUUAGAAACCUCCAGUCCCUAGGAUAAGAAAUAUUUGCCCUAGGAUAUUUCAG